CCUGCCAGUGACAAAUGUUCAACGGCCGCGGUAUCCUAACCGUGCGAAGGUAGCGUAAUCACUUGUUCUUUAAAUGUGGACUAGUAUGAACGGCACCACGAGGGUUAUACUGUCUCCUUUCUCCAAUCAGUGAAACUAAUCUCCCCGUGAAGAAGCGGGGAUAAAAAUAUAAGACGAGAAGACCCUAUGGAGCUUAAAAGUUUACUUCAAACGCUAACCCCUACAAAGUCAUAGACUACCACAAGAAGCCACGCGCCAUGAAAACAACUUUUAGGUUGGGGUGACCAUGGAGCACAAAACAACCUCCACGCUGAACAGGCCUCCAAGCCUCGAGCCAAGGGCCACAACCCGCCGCACUAAAAAAUUAACAUCCAUUGAUCCAAUGAAUUUUGAUCAACGAACCAAGUUACCCUAGGGAUAACAGCGCAAUCUACUUCAAGAGUUCCUAUCGACAAGUGGGUUUACGACCUCGAUGUUGGAUCAGGGUGUCCCAGUGGUGCAGCCGCUACUAAUGGUUCGUUUGUUCAACGAUUAAAACCCUACGUGA
rnacentral:rRNA from 1 species